rnacentral:lncRNA from 1 species
AAAGACACAAAAUAAUUGGACAAUCUCAAGCUGCAUGAUUGUCCAAUGUUACCAUGUCCAAUGUUGUUUUAUUUCUUUCCUAGGCUGGGAAAAGCUUUUAUUACUUUUUAGCUCAUGAUUGCCUCUUUUUUUCUUUAUUAACCCUACUUUACUCAAAACCUACUGCAAAUGGUGACUUCUGCUCCCAUGCAAAAUUGCUAACCCUGACAUUUAUAGCACACCAUGUGUAUUGUCAACCUAACAGUCACAUGCUUCUUUUUUAUGUUGCCAUGGCUCAAAUUCAUUCUGGGGUAUGAAUGGGAAUUCAUACUUUUCCAUUCAACUCAAAUAGACUCUGAAAGGUCACAAUCAUAAGGGUCUCAUCUUCCUUGUCCACGAUUGGCUUGGCGAAAGGGCACACAACCCAGUUUUGGCCAUUAAGAUAUAUAUUCAGUUAUUCAUUCUACAAGUAUUUACUGAGCACCUACUACACAGCAGGAACUAGGUGCUAGGGAAACUGCAGUGAACAAAACACAAGUGUCUCUGGAGCCCCAGAUUGUAACUGUGGGAGAAAUAAACUAAUAGUAAACACAAAUAGUGUUAAAGGAGUUCAGAGAAAAUAUUAUUCAUUUUUAAUAUUCUAAAAAUAAUGCCAAAGGAAGAAAUUGUUAUUUAUCUUCCUCUGACAUUGAUGAAUAGGACGUGAUAGAGCUUCAGCAACAUGGAGAGGAGAUAGCCGGUCUGGCUAGGAUGGAAGAAAUGUACAUGGAGAAGAAAGACAGAAGAACCAUCACUGAGCACUAAACUAAUCAGCCAUAAUGUGUAAGCCACUUUUAUGAAUUUUUUUCCUUCCUUCCUUCCCUCCUUCCUUCCUUUCUUCUUUCCCUCUUUCCUUUCUUCUUUCCUUCUUUGAUACAAAGUCUUGCUCUGUUGCCCAGUCUGGAGUACAAUGGUGUGAUCACAGCUCAUAGCUCACCGUAACCUUGAACUCCUAGGCUCAAGGGAUCAAUCCUCCAGCCUCAGCCUCCCAAGUAGCUAGGACUUAUAGGUACGUGCUACCACACCAGCUAAUUUUUUAUUUUUUGUGUAGACUGGAUCUCGCUAUGUUGCCCAGGCUAGUCUUAAACUCCUGGGCUCAAGCGAUCCUUCUGCUUCAGCCUCCUGAGUUGCUGAGGUUAUAGCUGUGAACCAUUGAGCCUGGCCCCUGAAUUUUCCAUUACUUUCUGUUGAGAGUACCCUCACUGAUAUGACAUUGUAUACAGGUUUGGUAGAAAUAUUUUCGGAGCAAUUUAUGUUAUCUCUGAUCACUUUUUACAGGCAGAUUGACUGGCAAGCCUAUCACCACCUUGAUAACAGAUGACAUUAAAGAGAAAGGUAAAUAUAUGCUGUUUUGCUAAGUUUGUGCAAUGGCCAGAGAGGAAGAAAAAAUAUGUAGAAUGAAUGAACACAGACUACCAGCCCACUUAGAUAGAAAUAUACAUCCAUUGUAAAUAUAUUUCAGUAUAGUUGUAAACAGCUAUUGUUUGGCACUGAAAAAGUAGGUAUUUGUCAUCACAGAAGAAUUAAGAUUAUUUUGAGGCUUUUCUUAUCCAUGUAUAUCCAUGAAUAAUCACAUAUACAUACAUAUAUUUCAAAAUUGUCUUCUAUGAAAGAUUUUAUAUAUGUAAUCCUGUGUGUAUAUAAAUAUAAUAUAUAUAUAUAUAAUAUGUAUUCUUAAUCUUUAGAAUAUGAUUUAGAAAUUCUAAUUUGGGGUCAUAAUUAAAAAUAUGUUUCAUGAUAAGAAUACUAGAGGAGAGAGACAUUCAUUUUUUAAUGCAUAUAUAGAGAUGGAUAACAUAGUCAACAAAUAUCCCCCAAAACUUGGUGAGAAGAAACUGUUAUUUUCCAAAACUUUGAUAUGAUGAGGCAAAUAGAAAGCAAAAUCCCUCAUGGAGGCAGAAGAGGAGGAACUUAACAAAUGCCUGUUGAAUAAAUGAAUGAAUGUUUGAGCAUCUACAAUUUUGCAAUGAAUGUUCAGUUUCUUUUUACACAAAAACAUGGCCCUUUCAAAAAGUUACAUUCCUGUUUAUAAGAGACAAAUCUCUCCCCACCCUCUCACUUUCAUUCCUUCCCCUUCAUUUCUCCCUCUCUUGCUUCCUUCCUUCCUGCCUUCCUACCUGCCUACCAUUCUUCUCCAGCAAAUAUUGAGUGCCUUCUCUGGAGCUGGUAUUGUAUGCUGUAUUAUGAAUAAGACAGAUAAAAGAGGCUUUUUGCCCUUAAGAAACUUAUUAUACUCAAGAAAAG